rnacentral:rRNA from 1 species
GACGAACGCUGGCGGCGUGCUUAACACAUGCAAGUCGAACGGUGAAGCGCUUGCCUUUUUGGUGGGUGUGGAUGAGUGGCGAACGGGUGAGUAACACGUGAGUAACCUGCCCUCUUCUUCUGGAUAACCUCAUGAAAGUGGGGCUAAUACGGGGUAUUCCGGGUCUGUCGCAUGGCGGGUUUGGGAAAGAUUGCGCCUUUGGGUGUUUUCGGCGGGGGAUGGGCUCGCGGCCUAUCAGCUUGUUGGUGGGGUGAUGGCCUACCAAGGCGGUGACGGGUAGCCGGCCUGAGAGGGUGGACGGCCACACUGGGACUGAGCCACGGCCCAGACUCCUGCGGGAGGCAGCAGUGGGGAAUAUUGCACAAUGGGCGCAAGCCUGAUGCAGCGACGCCGCGUGAGGGAUGGAGGCCUUCGGGUUGUGAACCUCUUUCGCCAGUGAAGCAGGCCUGCUCCUGUGUGGGUGGGUUGACGGUAGCUGGAUAAGAAGCGCCGGCUAACUACGUG